UUUUUUAAAAGCAUUUAUUGACAAUUCUGCAGAAGUCUGUAAUCUCGCUGCUUUUAUAUUCUUCAUUAUACAGAACAGCUCCUACGUUGGUUCACAGAAAACCUGCUUCCUGUAGUUUUGCUUAGGGCUAAUUGAGUUUAAUGUAGUUUUGUGUGCAGAAGGUAUUGACUUGUGCAUAGUAUUUAAUUUGUGUAAAUAUGUGUGUAUGUAAUGUUUUGCCCCUCUGAGUUUUAUUUUAAAUGUAACCCUUGAAACCGGGAUAAUAGAAAUUCUUAGCUUAGGCCUGCUAGCAACUGCAGGUGCCAACGGUUUAAACUGCUGUAGAAAUACAAUUAUGAGCAGCCAAGAGCAAAUCUUGUUUUAAGGUCCAUGUGUAAUGAAUGCCUGUUAGUAUCAUAGAAUACAAUUAAAAAGAGGUUUACCUCUCCUGAGCUGUGAUUGGUUCUUUCUGAUGGAAGUGUAGAGUCCCAUGAGUAGCAUGUGUAUUCAGCUCCCGGUGAUUUAGACACCAGUGAGCCUGGCAUGCUGCAGGCUUGGAUAAAUUCAGGGCAGUUAUAGUCAAGCAGAGAUGGCAAAAGACUGAAAGAUUAAUGAGGGAGCUUAAAACAAAGCUCCAAAAAUGAGAGCAGUGCACUGCUUGGUCUUAUGUAAUUGUGCCGAAUAGAAGUCAGC
rnacentral:lncRNA from 1 species